rnacentral:lncRNA from 1 species
AGGAUAAAUAAUUUAUGAUUUUAUUGAUAAAAUUAAUAUGAUUUAUAAAUUUAUGAUUGAUGGUAAAAUGAUAUUAGAAACUAUGUUUAUGAAAAUUGCAUGAUUUAUGCAUAUGUAAGAGUAUGAUUUAUUUAUGAUAUACUAUUAUGAAAGUUUUAUAUUCCAAUGAUCAUCAUCUUCUUUAAAUGAUUUAUUGAUACAUAUAUAAACUUAUGCUCGAUCUAGAUA